CGAAAUCGACGACGGCUGAAGCACCCCAGUGAGAACAUGUUCGCGGAGUUGCCAACUCUAUUCAUUUUUAUCCUAUUCCCCUUUGCUCACGGCUCGUCCAGCUGUUAAUCGCUGAGUAGCUCUUACUCACCACGCUUGCAGAGCUUACAUACAUACACACAAGUGGGGUGAGAUUGCCGAUUCUAUUUUGUGGUUCAGUUGUGAAUAGAAAAGCGAAGGGCUAGGGUAAGAAAAUCUACGUAAAUUUAAGAUCACAUGUAAAACCUUGCAUUUGCAGAAAUUUUAAGCGUCACAGCGUCACCACGAAGAGGGACAGCUGAAAUAAAUACUAGACUUGCAUCGGAGUUUAAUUUAUUGUACGGCGCUGUAAAAACCAGCUUAUUUUCGCAACAUUUCUUAAAAUUUCCUACUCUGACUGGACCACGUGGGACGUUACAUAAUAGCCUGGCGAUAUGGCACCAACUAAUAGUUGUUAUUUAUGUUCCGCCCCCGACAACGAGGAGAUGCUAAGAUGCAUCAAGUGUUCCAGCCAAUAUCACCCUACAUGCUGUGGACUGGACAACUGUAGUACCACCAGCAAUUGGACGUGCGCAUGUUGCACGGAGAAGGCGGCGCAGACCUUCGUUCAACAGGGCGACCCUAACCUCACUAGCAUUCAACUCGUACAAGAGGCCAACAAAACGCCAACUGAAAGCAACCAGCCAAACCAGAGUGGCGGGGAGCUAUCAGAGGACCAGCGGCAGCUUAUGUUACAGCAGUUGCAGGAGGAGUUGGAUGUCGAAAAGGAAUUUCUUCGUCGCAAAUUCGCCCUGUUGAGAUCCGGAGUUACACCAACCGGAAUCGAGACGCAAAUAAAUCAGCGAGGCCAAGAAUGUGCGAACUCUCAACUUACCGCCACCGGUAUACAGUUUGCGGAAAACAACGGAUGCAGUACUCCGCACCAGCCGGUUGAGCCCCAACUCAUUACAACACGGCAAGCAGCCUUUAGGCAGAUGGUGCCCCGAGAGUUGCCCUCCUUUAGUGGCGAUCCAAAGGAAUGGCCAAUUUUCUUCAGUUCAUUCGAAAGCAGCACAAAAAUGGCCUGUUACAGCAACGAGGAAAAUAUGAUCAGGCUGCAGAAGGCUCUAAAAGGGAAAGCUUUGGAUGCAGUCAGAGACUGCCUUCUAUUUCCUGACACGUUGCCAGACGUCAUGAGAACCUUAAGGAUGUACUUCGGUCGCCCAGAGCAUAUCUUGAAAGUCGUGGUUGAUAAUAUGAGAAGGAUGCCGGCACCCAAAGGACAGCUCGAACCGCUCAUCGAGCUGGCUUUCGCCGUAAAAAAUAUGUGUGCCACUAUGAAAGCCAGUAAUAUGUUGGCCCAUCUUAACAAUCCAACACUUUUACAAGAAAUCGUUGAGAAGCUAGGCCCUGAGAUGAUGCUGAAUUGGGCUUUGUACUCAAAGCAAUUCGACUGCCCCAAUCUACAACACUUAGCGGAUUGGAUGUUUGAGUUAGCUGACGCAGCUUGUCGGGUAACAACUCCAGCAGUCGGCAGGACAGCCGAGAGGAGAUCAUUACGCCAAGGCUGCCUAAAUACGCACACAGCAGUGGCAGGCUCAGCUCAACAAAGGGUCGAGCACUGCAUGGUCUGCGACGGGCCGCACUGCAUAUCACGUUGCGAAAGUUUCGCCGGUCUGCCUUAUGCGGCUAAAUGGGAUGUGGUGAGAACAAGUCACUUGUGCAAAAUAUGUUUAAAGAGGCAUAACAAAUCCUGCUGGAAAAAAAGGUCUUGUGGGAUCAACAAUUGCCAAGCGAUACAUCAUCCGUUAUUGCAUCAGGAUCAGUCGCCCGUUCCCGGCGCGCUCAAUAAUCACCGACAGCCCGAAAACGAGGGCGAGGAAAGCUACUUCCGCAUCAUCCCCGUCACUCUACGAGGGAAAUCGAAGCUGAUCGAAAUAUACGCGUUUAUGGACGACGGUUCGACGCUGACUCUGCUAGAGGAAUCAGUGGCCAACGAGCUAGAGGAGGAUGGCAUUCCCAGUCCUCUCUGCAUAAGCUGGACAGGCAGUGUACAACGACAGGAGCCCUCGUCUAGGCGACUCGAUCUGCGAAUCUCAGGAACUUCCCAAAAUUCCAAGGUGUUCAAUAUAAGCAACGUACACACAGUGGCCAGUUUGGGCAUGACAGCGGAGACCAUGAUAGCGGAAGAUGUCAAAAGGAAGUAUCGACAUUUAAAAGGGAUUCCGAUUAAAAGUUAUAAACAAGUGGUACCCAAAAUGAUCAUUGGAGUCAAUAAUCCGAAUUUAAUAUCUUCAUUAAAGGUACGUGAAGGUAAAUGGAACCAACCGGUAGCAGCAAAGACCAGACUAGGAUGGACAGUCUAUGGAGGUUCGCGACAACGUGGAAAUCGUUUUAAUUUCCAUAAAUGCGAGUGCGACAGCGAUCUACAUGAGAUGGUUAAGGCGUACAUAACCGCCGAGGAUAAAGUUUCUACGCAGCGGAAAAGCACGCCAGAGGAAAGCAGAGCUUCCGAAAUUCUCAUGGAGAGGACAACAUAUGACGGAAACAAAUACACUGCCGGGCUUCUAUGGUUAGACGAACACCGUUCCUUUCCAGAUAGUUUUCCAAUGGCAGAGAGACGGCUAAAAUGCCUGCAGCGAAAAAUGCAUAACGAUCCUGAGCUUGCUGUUGAGCUGAACCAGCAAAUACAAAAUCUGGUCGACAAGGGAUACGCAAAAAAGCUAUCGAGUGAAGAAACCAAAAAGGAUGCUGCCGGCGCAUGGUAUUUGCCAAUAUUUACUGUGCGAAACCCCCACAAGCCAAACCGGGUACGAUUGGUUUGGGACGCAGCAGCAAAGGCCUCGAAAUAUUGCUUAAACGACUAUCUGUUGAAAGGCCCUGACCUUUUGGUCCCACUUUUGAGGAUAAUGUACAACUUCCGAAUGAGAGCCGUCGCAAUCAGCGGAGACAUAGCGGAGAUGUUCCACCGCAUAGCUGUAAGACAGGAGGAUGCUUGCGCCCAACGUUUCCUUUGGUGCAAUCAGUCAGGCACUGCCGAUGUUUACCAACUCAACGUGCUAACAUUUGGUGCAGCCUGCUCGCCCUGCAUAGCACAUUAUGUGCGUGACAAGAACGCCCUAAAGCACGCAGAGGAAUUCGAGGCGGCGGCACGAGCCAUCACCAAAUUUCACUAUGUCGAUGACUAUAUUGAUUCGUGCGACACUCCACAACAAGCUAUCACAUUAGCAAGAGAAGUUAAGGAGGUACAUUCCAGAGGUGGCUUUCACAUGCAUAAGUGGUGCUCGAACCACAAAGAAGUGGUUGCCGAUCUAAACGGGUCUACAAAACAGGAAGAGAAGGAGUUCUACAAUAACGAAGAAAUCCAUUCCUUCGAAAAAAUUUUAGGCAUGCAAUGGAGCCCAAGUCAAGACGCAUUCACGUAUGCUCUCCGCUUCGUUCGUUUAAACCGAAAUAUUAUCAAGGAGAACAUAGUGCCUACCAAGAGAGAAGUCCUACAAGUCCUGAUGUCUGUCUUCGAUCCCAUGGGAUUUGUAUCGUGCAUUAUGAUGUAUCUCAAGAUCCUGCUGCAAAAUAUUUGGCGCACGAAAAUGGGCUGGGACGACGAACUACCGCCGGAGCUGUACGUCCAGUGGAACUUAUGGCUAUCAUAUCUGCCUUUGAUUUCACAGGUCGCCAUACCAAGACGCUACUUUGAAAACGGAACCCCUGAGGAUUGCAGCACCCAGCUGCAUAUAUUUGUUGAUGCAGGGGAAGAAGCAUAUGCAGCCGUAGCGUACUUCCGUAUCCAAUUCCAAGGAAUAAUAACUGUUCGUCUCGUUUCAGCCAAAUCCAAAGUAGCCCCAGUACGGCCACUCUCUAUACCAAGAAUGGAGCUACAAUCGGCACUGACAGGUGCACGUUUAUUUCGAGAUAUAAAGGCCCAGCAUGACAUCAAGUUCACGGAGACACAUUUGUGGACUGAUUCGAAAACCGUUCUGGCCUGGUUAAAUGGCGAUCCCCGCAAGUACCAGCAGUUCGUGAUGUUUCGUCUCGCAGAAAUUUCGGAGCUCUCGGACGUUAACCACUGGAGAUGGGUUCCUAGCAAGCACAACGUAGCGGACGUCGCUACAAAACGCCAAAGUGGACCCGAAGCGUAUGAUCGAUGGUUUGCAGGACCGGAAUUUCUGAGGCUACCAGCGGAAACUUGGCCCAUCACAGAAUCAAGUCAUUCAACAACAGAAGAACUGCGACCGCGAUUGCUACAUAUACGACAGGCCACAAUAAGACCAAACUACGAGGCCUUUUCAAAAUGGAUUACGCUGUCGAGAGCCGUUGCCUAUUGGUUCCUAUAUAAGGAACAGCUGACCAGCCAAAGCCGCAAGCAGUCAAAGCCCACUCGCAUUUCGGUAUUUCAUAUAAGGAAUGCUCAAGCAUACAUAUUUCGCUGCGUACAAAUAGAAGGCUUCCCCGAUGAAUUCGCGAGAGUCUUAAAAUCCACUCCGGUGGCUCGCAGCAGUGUGCUCUGGAGGCUGCAACUAUGUAUGAACGAGGACAACAUAAUGCAAGUACGGAAUCGGGUAGGAAAAUUCAAGAGUACUUCAGACGACCUCGUGAUAUUGCCAACCAGUCACUGGGUUACCAAACUCAUCGUUCGACAUUAUCACGAGAAAUCCUACCACAUCAACCAUGAGACUGCGCUUAACGAGGUGAGGCAAAGGUUUUAUAUUCCGAAACUAAGACCUUUAUUUAAACAAGUUCGCCGAGAUUGCCAACAGUGUAAAUUGGACAGAGCCAAACCUCAACCACCUAUUAUGGCUCCGCUCCCUCCAGCCCGUUUAGGAGGAUUUCAACGACCCUUUACGUUCGUGGGCAUAGACUACUUUGGUCCACUCACGGUCAUUGACGGAAGAAAGUCCCUGAAACGCUGGGGCAUGAUCUCCACGUGCCUUACUAUGAGGGCAAUACAUAUAGAAAUCGUAAACAGCCUGAGCACAGACUCCUGCCUUAUGGGGCUACGUAACUUUAUCGCACGGCGAGGCCUCCCACACGAAAUCUACAGCGAUAAUGGAACUAACUUCCGGGGAGCGGACUCAUUCCUCCAGGAAGUCCAGUUCAUAGACGAAUCCAAAAUGCACCACCACCUAGCCCAGCUAGGAAUUGAAUGGAAAUUCAACCCGCCAGCAGCGCCACACAUGGGCGGCGCCUGGGAGCGCAUGGUCCGCUCAAUAAAAACAGUUCUCUACAAAAUCUCUCCUCACCAAAAGUUCUCGGACGAGAGCCUAAGGACAGCGAUGCUGGAGAUAGAGUUGACGGUUAAUUCCCGACCGCUUACAUUUGUUUCCCUCGACCAUGACGACCAGGAGGCUCUAACCCCAAAUCACUUUCUGCUGGGAUCCUCGAACGGGACUAAGCCAUUUUGCGAUCCAGAAAGAAUUAACUACCGAUGGUGCCUGCGACAAAGCGAACAGUUCGCUAACCAAUUCUGGACUCGGUGGGUCACGGAAAUCCUUCCGACGAUCACCAGGAGAAGCAAGUGGCACGAGAAGGUGAAACCUAUCGACGUCGGAGACCUCGUUAUAAUUGUCGACGAGACUCAGCGCAGAAAUACCUGGUUAAAAGGCAGAGUAAUCGAAGUAACCCGAGCAUCUGAUGGACAAGUUCGCCGUGCCAAGGUUCAAACUAGAGAUGGCUUUCUGGUGCGUCCUGCAGUCAAGUUGGCGGUACUCGAUGUCGGCCCGAUUGAGAGUAAGCUACAGGAGUCUUCGCUUACUGGGGGGGGGGAAUGUUGCCGAAAUCGACGACGGCUGAAGCACCCCAGUGAGAACAUGUUCGCGGAGUUGCCAACUCUAUUCAUUUUUAUCCUAUUCCCCUUUGCUCACGGCUCGUCCAGCUGUUAAUCGCUGAGUAGCUCUUACUCACCACGCUUGCAGAGCUUACAUACAUACACACAAGUGGGGUGAGAUUGCCGAUUCUAUUUUGUGGUUCAGUUGUGAAUAGAAAAGCGAAGGGCUAGGAAAUUUUAAGCGUCACAGCGUCACCACGAAGAGGGACAGCUGAAAUAAAUACUAGACUUGCA